rnacentral:rRNA from 1 species
UACGUAGGUGGCGAGCGUUGUCCGGAUUUACUGGGCGUAAAGAGCGCGCAGGCGGUCGUUCAAGUCGCGUGUGAAAGCCCCCGGCUCAACUGGGGAGGGUCACGCGAUACUGAUCGACUCGAAGGCAGGAGAGGGAAGUGGAAUUCCCGGUGUAGUGGUGAAAUGCGUAGAUAUCGGGAGGAACACCAGUGGCGAAGGCGGCUAUCUGGACGGUUUCUGACGCUAAGACGCGAAAGCGUGGGGAGCAAACAGG